GACGAACGCUGGCGGCGUGCUUAACACAUGCAAGUCGAACGGAAAGGCCCUGCUUUUGUGGGGUGCUCGAGUGGCGAACGGGUGAGUAACACGUGAGUAACCUGCCCUUGACUUUGGGAUAACUUCAGGAUACUGGGGCUAAUACCGGAUAGGAGCUCCUGCUGCAUGGUGGGGGUUGGAAAGUUUCGGCGGUUGGGGAUGGACUCGCGGCUUAUCAGCUUGUUGGUGGGGUAGUGGCUUACCAAGGCUU
rnacentral:rRNA from 1 species